AGGAAUCCCUAAAACGAAACGCGACCUUUCGAUGCAAAAUGGUUCCCCACCCCUGGCCUAGGUCAGGACACAGAGCGUCCAUCGGUUGUACGUGUGUGCAUACCGAUCUUUCUUUUUCUGCCGCGCGCAAAAAGAACAGAAGGUCGCUUUUUGUGUGCCAUGGCGUGACGCCGUUGGACCUGCGGAACAUUUCUACGUAACAACGUGUAACUGUACCAGGUGGUGAAGAAGUUUAACUGCCGAAAUGCUCUUACAGAAAGCCACGCCGGGAGUCCAUUUUAAAUAAUGCCUAACGCAAACCUAAUCGUAACCCUCAACGAGAGAAUGUUGCUGUUGUGUUAUUGAAAAGGGAUCCGCUGUGUGAAGAUAAGGCUCUCAAGAUUUUCAACGAUGAACCAACGGUAUACAAGCACCCACAAACACGCCACACAAUUUUUAACUCGAGAAACGUCCAUCAGCCUUUUUACUGGGCAUCGAACUUCCCAAAACACUUUACCUAGAUUUUCGAUGGAAUACUGGCCACACAAAACUCGAAUUUAUCAAGAGACGUCGAUCACCCUAAAUAUUUUGACGCGUGAUUUUCAAGAUUUUCCUUCCACCGCUGUUCAACGACCAAUUUAAUUCUCGUAUGCUUACGUAUAAGCAUACACCACGACGGGCACAACGUAUCGCGAAACUUUGAAUUAUUCAAAUCCGUUUACCAGUUAGGAGACUUCGAGUGUGUCAAAAGCAGCGAUACCGACGAUGGGAAAUGCGUGUUGGCAGACAAUGUAAAUCUUGUAUACAUCGACGAUAAGCCAACGAUAUAAUCGGAGGAAAAAAAAAAAGUG